GAGAUUAACUGACAGACUGUAUAACGUUACAGGCCACCAAACAGUCUUACCAUAAAACCUUUUACAGUUUAGCACAAAUGUUUCCUGUGGAAGUUUGAAUCUCUCUCAGUCAGGGGGGAGAUUGACUGACAGACUGUCUACUUGCCACCAAACAUUAAUUUACCCUGAAACCUUUUUAAGUUUAGCACAAACGUUUCCCGCGCAAGUUUGGAUCUUUACCAUUGAGGGUGGCUGACUGUUUUCGACCAACCAUCAUUCACACGCAAAAACUUUAAAGAUAAGUAUGAACGUGCCCAGAGCAGUUUUCGAUCUUUACCAUUAAGGAGGCUGACUGACUAUCCUCUACCACCCGUCAUUAACACAAGAAAAACUAAAGAAAUGUUACUCCAUAUGGACCUAUUCAUUUACUCAUUAUGCUGUGAGUACACCACAGUUUUAUCAGGGAAAAAAAUUAUAUUUGUGUGUUUCUCACUGCUUGACAAGGACAGAUGUGGCCUUGUUAAAAAUGUUUAAAUGUUGUUUGGUUUAAGGAACAGCACACUGAUUUUGUUUUAAA